GACGAACGCUGGCGGCGUGCUUAACACAUGCAAGUCGAACGGAAAGGCCCUGCUUUUGUGGGGUGCUCGAGUGGCGAACGGGUGAGUAACACGUGAGUAACCUGCCCUUGACUUUGGUAUAACUUCAGGAAACUGGGGCUAAUACCGUAUAGGAGCUCCUGCUGCAUGGUGGGGGUUGGAUAGUUGCGGCGGGUGGGGAUGGACUCGCGGCUUAUCAGCUUGUUGGUGGGGUAGUGGCUUACCAAGGCUUUGACGGGUAGCCGGCCUGAGAGGGUGAACGGCCACAUUGGGACUGAGAUACGGCCCAGACUCCUACGGGAGGCAGCAGUGGGGAAUAUUGCACAAUGGGCGGAAGCCUGAUGCAGCAACGCCGCGUGCGGGAUGACGGCCUUCGGGUUGUAAACCGCUUUCGGCUGUGACGAAGCGUGAGUGACGGUAAUGGGUAAAGAAGCACCGGCUAACUACGUG
rnacentral:rRNA from 1 species